rnacentral:rRNA from 1 species
GCGUCACAUUAGUUAGUUGGUGGGGUAAAGGCCUACCAAGACUAUGAUGUGUAGCCGGGCUGAGAGGUUGAACGGCCACAUUGGGACUGAGACACGGCCCAAACUCCUACGGGAGGCAGCAGUAGGGAAUUUUCGGCAAUGGAGGAAACUCUGACCGAGCAACGCCGCGUGAACGAUGAAGUAUUUCGGUACGUAAAGUUCUUUUAUUAGGGAAGAAUAAAUGAUGGAAAAAUCAUUCUGACGGUACCUAAUGAAUAAGCCCCGGCUAACUAUGUGCCAGCAGCCGCGGUAAUACAUAGGGGGCAAGCGUUAUCCGGAAUUAUUGGGCGUAAAGGGUGCGUAGGCGGUUAAAUAAGUUUAUGGUCUAAGUGCAAUGCUCAACAUUGUGAUGCUAUAAAAACUGUUUAGCUAGAGUAAGAUAGAGGCAAGUGGAAUUCCAUGUGUAGUGGUAAAAUGCGUAAAUAUAUGGAGGAACACCAGUAGCGAAGGCGGCUUGCUGGGUCUUUACUGACGCUGAGGCACGAAAGCGUGGGGAGCAAACAGGAUUAGAUACCCUGGUAGUCCACGCCGUAAACGAUGAGUACUAAACGUUGGGUAAAACCAGUGUUGAAGUUAACACAUUAAGUACUCCGCCUGAGUAGUACGUACGCAAGUAUGAAACUUAAAGGAAUUGACGGGACUCCGCACAAGCGGUGGAUCAUGUUGUUUAAUUCGAAGGUACCCGAAAAACCUCACCAGGUCUUGACAUGCUUCUGCAAAGCUGUAGAAACACAGUGGAGGUUAUCAGUUGCACAGGUGGUGCAUGGUUGUCGUCAGCUCGUGUCGUGAGAUGUUGGGUUAAGUCCCGCAACGAGCGCAACCCUUAUUGUUAGUUACCAGCACGUAAUGGUGGGGACUUUAGCAAGACUGCCAGUGAUAAAUUGGAGGAAGGUGGGGACGACGUCAAAUCAUCAUGCCCCUUAUGACCUGGGCUACAAACGUGAUACAAUGGCUGUUACAAAGGGUAGCUGAAGCGCAAGUUUUUGGCGAAUCUCAAAAAAACAGUCUCAGUUCGGAUUAAAGUCUGCAACUCGACUUCAUGAAG